UACGAAGGGGGGCUAGCGUUGUUCGGAAUUACUGGGCGUAAAGCGCACGUAGGCGGGUUGUUAAGUCAGGGGGUGAAAUCCUGGAGCUCAACUCCAGAACUGCCUUUGAUACUGGCAACCUAGAGACUGGAAGAGGUUAGUGGAAUUCCCAGUGUAGAGGUGAAAUUCGUAGAUAUUGGGAAGAACACCAGUGGCAAGGAGGCGCUAACUGGUCCAGCACUGACGCUGAGGUGCGAAAGCGUGGGGAGCAAACAGG
rnacentral:rRNA from 1 species